rnacentral:rRNA from 1 species
UGGGAAAUUUUGCACAAUGGGGGAAACCCUGAUGCAGCGACGCCGCGUGAUUUAGAAGGCCUUCGGGUUGUAAAAAUCUUUUCUAUGGGAAGAAAAUGACAGUACCAUAGGAAUAAGGACCGGCUAAUUACGUGCCAGCAGCCGCGGUAAUACGUAAGGUCCGAGCGUUGUCCGGAAUCAUUGGGCGUAAAGGGUACGUAGGCGGGUAAGCAAGUUAGAAGUGAAAUCCUAUAGCUCAACUAUAGUAAGCUUUUAAAACUGCUCAUCUUGAGGUAUGGAAGGGAAAGUGGAAUUCCUAGUGUAGCGGUGAAAUGCGCAGAUAUUAGGAGGAAUACCGGUGGCGAAGGCGACUUUCUGGCCAUAACCUGACGCUGAGGUACGAAAGCGUGGGUAGCAAACAGG